CUUCUACAAAAAUUGAAGUUGGAUGACAUCUAUGAGGGACAGAAGGAAGUUGACGGAGAACAGUUCAAUGUUGAGGAUGUAGAUGAAAAACCAGGUGCAUUCAGGUGCUACUUGGACGUUGGUCUCGUGCGCACAACCACAGGUGCUCGUGUGUUUGGAGCCAUGAAAGGUGCUGCCGAUGGUGGACUAGAUAUCCCACACAGUACCAAGAGAUUCCCUGGUUAUGACAGCGAGAAUGGAGAAUUCAGUGCUGAGGUCCACAGAAACCACAUCUUUGGCCAACAUGUUGCCAACUACAUGAGGUCCCUUCAAGAUGAGGACGAAGAUGCAUUCAAGAAGCAGUUCUCCCAAUUCAUCAAAAAUAAAAUAACAGCUGACAAUUUGGAGGCCAUGUACAAAAAAUGCCAUGCUGCUAUUAGAGCUGACCCAUCACCAAAAGCAAAGAAAGAUAAGAAGGAUGUCAAGGUCAAGAGAUGGAACCGGGCUAAGAUCUCUAUUAAACAGAGGAAGGACCGUGUUAAGCAGAAGAAGGUUGCCUAUCUCAAACAGUUGGAGGCCGAGGAUGAUGAAUAAGUGUAUCACUAUACAAAUAAACUCUGCUUGCCC
rnacentral:misc_RNA from 1 species